UACGUAGGGGGCUAGCGUUGUCCGGAAUCAUUGGGCGUAAAGAGCGUGUAGGCGGCUCGGUAAGUCCGCUGUGAAAGUCCAGGGCUCAACCCUGGAAUGCCAGUGGAAACUGUCGAGCUAGAGUCCGGAAGAGGCGAGUGGAAUUCCUGGUGUAGCGGUGAAAUGCGCAGAUAUCAGGAGGAACACCGGGUGGCGAAGGCGGGUCUCUGGGCCGUAACUGACGCUGAGGAGCGAAAGCGUGGGGAGCGAACAGG
rnacentral:rRNA from 1 species